CUAAGGAAGGCGAAAGAUGAUGGAGAGUGCGAGAGCACUAAAGAGAAGUCAUCGAGAAAGCCAAGCGGAAGCACACUGAGAAACUUUGUUUAGUUUUGAGGGUAAUACCUCAGAGAGCUAGUACAUUGAAAACUGAAUAUAAUCUAAAGCAAAAAACCGAGACAAUCGAAAAAAACAGAUUGAAGAGCGACCGAGAAGAGAGAGAAACUCAACUUGAAAUA
rnacentral:misc_RNA from 1 species